rnacentral:rRNA from 1 species
UCAGAACGAACGCUGGCGGCGUGGAUAAGACAUGCAAGUCGAACGAGAGAAUUGCUAGCUUGCUAAUAAUUCUCUAGUGGCGCACGGGUGAGUAACACGUGAGUAACCUGCCCCCGAGAGCGGGAUAGCCCUGGGAAACUGGGAUUAAUACCGCAUAGUAUCGAAAGAUUAAAGCAGCAAUGCGCUUGGGGAUGGGCUCGCGGCCUAUUAGUUAGUUGGUGAGGUAACGGCUCACCAAGGCGAUGACGGGUAGCCGGUCUGAGAGGAUGUCCGGCCACACUGGAACUGAGACACGGUCCAGACACCUACGGGUGGCAGCAGUCGAGAAUCAUUCACAAUGGGGGAAACCCUGAUGGCGCGACGCCGCGUGGGGGAAUGAAGGUCUUCGGAUUGUAAACCCCUGUCAUGUGGGAGCAAAUUAAAAAGAUAGUACCACAAGAGGAAGAGACGGCUAACUCUGUGCCAGCAGCCGCGGUAAUACAGAGGUCUCAAGCGUUGUUCGGAAUCACUGGGCGUAAAGCGUGCGUAGGCUGUUUCGUAAGUCGUGUGUGAAAGGCGCGGGCUCAACCCGCGGACGGCACAUGAUACUGCGAGACUAGAGUAAUGGAGGGGGAACCGGAAUUCUCGGUGUAGCAGUGAAAUGCGUAGAUAUCGAGAGGAACACUCGUGGCGAAGGCGGGUUCCUGGACAUUAACUGACGCUGAGGCACGAAGGCCAGGGGAGCGAAAGGGAUUAGAUACCCCUGUAGUCCUGGCAGUAAACGGUGCACGCUUGGUGUGCGGGGAAUCGACCCCCUGCGUGCCGGAGCUAACGCGUUAAGCGUGCCGCCUGGGGAGUACGGUCGCAAGAUUAAAACUCAAAGAAAUUGACGGGGACCCGCACAAGCGGUGGAGUAUGUGGCUUAAUUCGAUGCAACGCGAAGAACCUUACCUGGGCUUGACAUGUAAUGAACAACAUGUGAAAGCAUGCGACUCUUCGGAGGCGUUACACAGGUGCUGCAUGGCCGUCGUCAGCUCGUGUCGUGAGAUGUUUGGUUAAGUCCAGCAACGAGCGCAACCCCUGUUGCCAGUUACCAGCACGUGAAGGUGGGGACUCUGGCGAGACUGCCCAGAUCAACUGGGAGGAAGGUGGGGACGACGUCAGGUCAGUAUGGCCCUUAUGCCCAGGGCUGCACACGUACUACAAUGCCCAGUACAGAGGGGGCCGAAGCCGCGAGGCGGAGGAAAUCCUGAAAACUGGGCCCAGUUCGGACUGUAGGCUGCAACCCGCCUACACGAAGCCGGAAUCGCUAGUAAUGGCGCAUCAGCUACGGCGCCGUGAAUACGUUCCCGGGUCUUGUACACACCGCCCGUCACAUCAUGGAAGCCGGUCGCACCCGAAGUAUCUGAAGCCAACCGCAAGGAGGCAGGGUCCUAAGGUGAGACUGGUAACUGGGAUGAAGUCGUAACAAGGUAACCAAU